rnacentral:lncRNA from 1 species
AAAACAAUAAAAUUAUUUUCAUGCCAAAUCCCAAAUUUGUACAUCAUCAAAUAUUUUAGUAUGAAGGUGAAGUAUACUUUAAAAUACAGUAUUACUAGUAUGAAUAAACAAACAAAAUUUCGGUUUUCAAAAGCACAAGCGAAAAGAGAGGGAUGCUAUAUAGUGCAAAGUGGACGAUGAAAAAGUCAGAUAAAAUGGGAAAGAUAAACUACGCAAAUAAUCCACUAUAUACAUGAUAUUUGAUAAACUGUAUGUUCAUGCAAGAAUGAUAUGCAAAUUCAAAGGUGUUCUCACCAUCCUAUAAAUAAUACUUAGACUGGUCAUGAUACAUAUGUAAACACUGCUAUGUACUGUUUGAUACUAUUUCCAUCCAGUAGGAACAUUUAUUUUCAAAUAGUUAGGCCUAUAUAUAUGAAAACAUACAUUUUGAUUCGAUUUUAAUUUUACAUGUACUAUGAUUGUGUUUGUACUUUGUACAUUUGGCUAUUAUCGAUUAUUAUUUUAAAGAAAACAUUAUUAACUUUGAUCAGUGCAUGAAUAAUUUUGUGUAAAAUGUGUGGCAUUUGAUAACAUUUGCAGAUGGUUGUUAAGCAUAAUAACAAUGAAACUGUACAGUGUGAAGCUAGCUAUAAGUAUCGACAGGAUGUAGGACCAUUGUUGUAAAAAAUGGAUACAGUUGUCUAUUAAGUGGGAAUUAAGAUAUGUAAUGAAUCAGACAUUACUCAAAUUUUCAAUUGCAAUUUAGAAUUAGUAUUCCUUAUAAAAAAAGUAAUUAAACGGACCAAUUACUUUAUAUGAAUACAUAGUAUGUAUUGUAUUGUAUCAACAGCCAUAUUAAACGAAACACAGCAAAAACAGUACAAAAACAAAGAAAAGUUUGAAAAGAGUCUAAUCAUCAAAACAGUAAAACAAAAAUAAAUUAGUUUCAAACCAAAGAAACCAGUUAAGCAACAAUCGAUAUUAAAAAUAUAAUUUUACUUAACUAUAAGUGUUUAUAGUAAAGUCUUUGACAUUACUGAUUUCUUAAUGGAAAAUACAAAUAAUAAACAAAGACAUGUAAAUGCAAUUCAAGCAAACUAAAUUUCAUUGAUAAAUGAGUUCUGAUUACUGGAUCAGAUUAUUUCAAGGUCCUCCAAGAAAAACAUUGAUAGCUCUAUAUGAAGUAAAUGGAGCCACGUUUUGGACACAAUAAAAAUUAUUUAUCAUUUUAAUUAUUUAAAAAAGAGUGGUAAUUUUACAUAGGUUUAGUUUCGUAAAGAUUACAAAUUGCAUUUCAGAAAUGAUUUUGACAUCAAUGUAUUUGAACGAAUUCAAAUUAAGGUAACGACCGAAAAUAAUAAAUAUCUUGAACAGUUCGUUAAAAUUAUUUCAUUGGUUCAGUUUUAUUCGUUUAACCGAAAGUCCAUCAAUUAAUGUCGAAUCAUUAUUUUCAUAUUUUCAAAUGACCAGUUUAUGAAGUAAUUUUUAUAUGUCAUGGUUAAACAUAGGCUUUACCUCGAUGUAUGCCUUGUUUUCAUG